rnacentral:tRNA from 1 species
AAAAGAUUAGUUUAAAUUAAAACAUUAACUUGUCAAGUUAAUAAUAUAAAUAUUAUAUCUUUUA